UAAAACUAUCAUGUGAAUAAUGUCAAACUAGCCUACAGGUGUGGAUAAGAGACCAGAUGGAAGAGAAUUAAGAUGCCUUGACUCAUAGUCUUGCCAGUCACUGGACACAGUGAGGUCACCCUAUACCAUUCAAAUACCAGCCAUUUACCAGCUGACCAUGAAUACGUGAGACAGCACAGCCCAGCACCCAGGAUGGGUCAGGUCAGAAGCACAGAACCAAUCAACAGAAUACUGAAGUAAAUGAAAGGGUCUUAAAACAAGGCAGAAAUAUCUUCAUUGUGCAGAGGAGGAGGUUAGCAAUGGAGAGUCAGUGAAGUUGUGGAUCCAGGAGAAUGGAACCUGAGAAUUCAAAUUCUGGUUUCUACAUCUGAGAGAGAGGACCAAUGGAAAUUUCCCCAAUUAUGGAAAUGCUAUUCAAGAG